UGGAGCUUGUCCUAGCAACAUGGAACUACUGAUUCAGCUAAGGUGUCAGACUUACAUGUCUCCUGAAACUUCUCCAGAUCUGAGUCGGAACAGCCUGGGUGACUAGGCUAGGCUAGACACCUGACUACCAGAGUGGCUGAAGUUGGAUAAGAUGAAUCCCCUUCAAACAAACCUUCAGAAUUUGUCAAAGCAUUUGGUAGACUUGGAAAGUAGCCUUACAUAUUAGUAAAAUAAGGUUAAUUCUUUAGAAACAGAUAA